CCUACGGGUGGCAGCAGUGAGGAAUAUUGGUCAAUGGCCGGAAGGCUGAACCAGCCAAGUCGCGUGAGGGAAUAAGGCCCUAUGGGUCGUAAACCUCUUUUGUCAGGGAGCAAAGGCGUCCACGAGUGGACGAAAGGAGAGUACCUGAAGAAAAAGCAUCGGCUAACUCCGUGCCAGCAGCCGCGGUAAUACGGAGGGGGCAAGCGUUAUCCGGAUUUACUGGGUGUAAAGGGAGCGUAGACGGCCGCGCAAGUCUGGAGUGAACUCCCAUGGCUUAACCAUGGAACUGCUUUGGAAACUGUGCAGCUAGAGUGCAGGAGAGGUAAGCGGAAUUCCUAGUGUAGCGGUGAAAUGCGUAGAUAUUAGGAGGAACACCAGUGGCGAAGGCGGCUUACUGGACUGUAACUGACGUUGAGGCUCGAAAGCGUGGGGAGCAAACAGGAUUAGAUACCCUGGUAGUC
rnacentral:rRNA from 1 species